rnacentral:rRNA from 1 species
UACGUAGGCAGCGAGCGUUGUUCGGAGUUACUGGGCGUAAAGGGUGCGUAGGCGGUUGUUUAAGUUUGGGGUGAAAUCUCCCGGCUCAACUGGGAGGGUGCGCCGAAUACUGAAUGACUAGAGUGCGGGAGAGGAUAGUGGAAUUCCUGGUGUAGCGGUGAAAUGCGUAGAUAUCAGGAGGAACAUCGGUGGUGUAGACGGCUAUCUGGACCGUAACUGACGCUGAGGCACGAAAGCGUAGGUAGCAAACAGG